rnacentral:rRNA from 1 species
CCUUCGGGGUGGAUCAGUGGCGAACGGGUGAGUAACACGUGGGCAAUCUGCCCUGCACUCUGGGACAAGCCCUGGAAACGGGGUCUAAUACCGGAUAUUACCUUCCUCUGCAUGGGGGUUGGUGGAAAGCUCCGGCGGUGCAGGAUGAGCCCGCGGCCUAUCAGCUUGUUGGUGGGGUAAUGGCCUACCAAGGCGACGACGGGUAGCCGGCCUGAGAGGGCGACCGGCCACACUGGGACUGAGACACGGCCCAGACUCCUACGGGAGGCAGCAGUGGGGAAUAUUGCACAAUGGGCGAAAGCCUGAUGCAGCGACGCCGCGUGAGGGAUGACGGCCUUCGGGUUGUAAACCUCUUUCAGCAGGGAAGAAGCGAAAGUGACGGUACCUGCAGAAGAAGCACCGGCUAACUACGUGCCAGCAGCCGCGGUAAUACGUAGGGUGCGAGCGUUGUCCGGAAUUAUUGGGCGUAAAGAGCUCGUAGGCGGCUUGUCACGUCGGUUGUGAAAGCCCGGGGCUUAACCCCGGGUCUGCAGUCGAUACGGGCAGGCUAGAGUUCGGUAGGGGAGAUCGGAAUUCCUGGUGUAGCGGUGAAAUGCGCAGAUAUCAGGAGGAACACCGGUGGCGAAGGCGGAUCUCUGGGCCGAUACUGACGCUGAGGAG